GAAAGAUUUUCCCAUGACUGACUUAACCACGAGAUCACCCGUUAAAUCUGUGACACCAUCGCAUUGUAUUCUCACAGGAUAACGAUCAAUGCUGAAGGUUUUGGCCAACUCUUCGAUGGAAGGGCUAUUAGCAUUUGGAUCAUCUCUUUUGAAAGAUUCCUCCUCCCCGUGUUCAUUAUCUUCUGCUCCUGAUUGAGAUAACGCUUGUAAAGUAAGCUCAUAGAGUGGUGGAUGUAGCUAAGCUGCUGCACUUGUUUCUUUACUUAAACUUGAUUCGAUUUCUUUUCUUUUGGAAGCCAUGUUAUCUUAAAU
rnacentral:lncRNA from 1 species